UCUCGCUGCCGCCGCCGCCGGAGUCGCCCAGCCCUGGGCCUGUCCCCGUGCCCUCGCGCCAUGAGUGCCUGGCCGAGCGUCCCCGCAGGAUUGCACCUCCCCUGGGGGCUGGCCCUGCUGCUGCUGCUCGCGUGUCCCCGGGCUGUGCGCGGUGACUGUGGCCUUCCCCCAGAUGUACCUAAUGCCCAGCCAGAUUUGGGAGGUUCUACGAAUUUUUCUGAGGGACAUGUGUUAACAUACAGAUGUAAUGAAGGCUUUGUAAAAGUCCCUGGCAUGCCAGACUCAGUGACCUGUGUUAAUAAUAAGUGGUCAGAUCUUGGAGAAUUCUGUAAUCGUAGCUGUGAAGCGCCACCCAGGCUAAUUUACGCUUCACUCAAAAAGCCUUUCAGCGAGCAGAAUAGUUUCCCAGUGGGGUCCACUGUGGAAUAUGAGUGCCGUUUGGGCUACAGGAGGGACCCGUCUAAAUCACCAAGACUAACUUGCCUUCAGGAUUUAACAUGGUCCACACCAGGUGAAUUCUGUAAAAAAAAAUCAUGUCCUAAUCCUGGAGAUCUAACAAAUGGUGUGGUCAACAUACAGACUGACAUACUGUUUGGUUCAUCCAUCACCUUCUCGUGUAACGAAGGGUAUAAAUUACUGGGUCCGUCUACUAGUUUCUGUGUUAUUUUGGAUACAAAUGUCGGGUGGAGUGAAAGCAUGCCAGUGUGCACAGUUAUUUAUUGCCCACAACCAUCAAAAAUUGAAAAUGGAUUUAUCCUAAAUGAAGUUGAAACUUACUCAUAUAGCCAGACUGUAACGUACAGAUGUAAUAAAGGCUUCACUAUGGUUGGAGAACACACUCUCUAUUGUACGGCAAAAAAUGAUGAAGGACAAUGGAGUGGCCCACCACCCAUGUGCAGAGGAAAAUCUCCACCUCUUCCUGGUAUCACAACAACAGUUCAGAAACCUACUACAGGGAAAGAUCCAUCUACAGUGACUUCACCAACUACUCAAAAACCUACUACAGGAAGUGCUCCAGGUACAGAAACUCCAACAACUACUCAAAAACCUACUACAGGAAAUGCUCCAGGUACAAAAGCUCCAACAACAACUCAGAAACCUACCACAGUAAAUGUUCCAGCAACACAGGUUGGAUCUGUUCCCAGGACAACCACGCAAUUUUAUUCCACAACCAUUUCUAAAGACAAAGAGAGCUCUUCUUCAGGUUCGAUCUAUUUUGUAUAUGGAUUUGUUGCUGUUGCUAUAAUAAUUGGUAUCCCAAUUCUAGUCAAAAUUUUCUGGGACUAUGGAAAAUCAGGAUGAGCUAAAAGAGGAUUCUGAAUAUUUCCAGCUCUCCUUUUGAAAUUCGCUUAUAAAACACAUGAAAACACCAAAUCAUUCACUGUUAAGUCUGAUAGUUUGUGACUGGUGCCUCAGAAGUAAGACCUGGUAAAUUAUAAAAGGACACACAUAUAUAACAUUGACAGUUUUGCUUAUGAUGCUAGUAACCAUUGGCUAGCUGACUUUCCCAAAGAAGAGUUAAGAAGAAA